rnacentral:pre_miRNA from 1 species
GUGUAGGGUAAUACAUAUCUUGAAGUUGGAGCAAUUACUAUAAAUAAUGAAGUCUAGAUAAUUUUCCCUUCAAGAUAAGCAUCAUGU